rnacentral:rRNA from 1 species
GACGAACGCUGGCGGCGUGCUUAACACAUGCAAGUCGAACGGUAAGGCCCUUCGGGGUACACGAGUGGCGAACGGGUGAGUAACACGUGGGUGAUCUGCCCUGCACUUCGGGAUAAGCCUGGGAAACUGGGUCUAAUACCGGAUAGGACCACUGCCUGCAUGGGUGGUGGUGGAAAGCUUUUGCGGUGUGGGAUGGGCCCGCGGCCUAUCAGCUUGUUGGUGGGGUGAUGGCCUACCAAGGCGACGACGGGUAGCCGGCCUGAGAGGGUGACCGGCCACACUGGGAAUGAGAUACGGCCCAGACUCCUACGGAGGCAGCAGUGGGGAAUAUUGCACAAUGGGCGCAAGCCUGAUGCAGCGACGCCGCGUGAGGGAUGACGGCCUUCGGGUUGUAAACCUCUUUCAGCACCGACGAAGCGCAAGUGACGGUAGGUGCAGAAGAAGGACCGGCCAACUACGUGCCAGCAGCCGCAGUAA